GCUCAUUAAUUUUGCCUAUUUUUGAUAGCCUUAACGGAGUGUUUUAAAUAUGGUAAGCAUUUCGAAAACUCUAUGUUUUUUAAUUCAAUGAUUAUGAUCUAUUUUCUAUCUUGGAAAAACUAAUCAAAUCGCUUCCUUUCAGACAUACAUUUUGAAAAGAAAACUCAUUUUAAUUUAUUUGUUUAAGUUCUUAAAAUUAUCUGGUAUAAGUUUACUGAUAACAUAUUUUCUUAAUUAUAGGAAAUAAUAUUACUUGUGGCAGGGUAUGCAAAUGCCGAAGUGCGCGGAUCGAAAUAUUUUUUGCCACUUAGCAGCGUAAUCAGCAUCAACAUCGGCAACAGCACCACAUCAAGCAUCGACAUCAAUUUCUGAUGUUUAAGUUUCGUUUUGGAACACUGCGCAAAUUUGGUCAAAUCAAGCCGAAAACCGUGGUUUCAGAUGUGUUUGUUAAACCUUAUCUAUCUGAUGGAUGUAUCAAUCUAUUAUUAUAAUACAGCGGUCGGCACGGAAAACAACGACAUUUUAUCUUUAAUUUGUGAGUGGCGACGUUAUACGUGUGCUGGCAGAGGAAGAGCAGAGCUAUUUCCUAUGCCCGCUUAAUGGGACGCUGCCGACCGCUGGUAUAAAGCUUCGAAAUUUGAUGAAAUGGAGACGUCCUUAUAUGAAAAUAUUUACCCAUGUUUUAAAAUGAUGGAACAUGUAAAACGCUACCCACAUUUCUCGCCCAAGCUUACCAAAAAUAACCCCAUCGAGUGGCAAGGACUUAGGGCAUUGGGAUACAGAUGGACUGCAAGAUGAGGAGG